CUCAGCUCAAGGAGAAAAAUUCGGCCAUCAUCUUCUUCCUUUGAAGAACCUUCAUGUAAAAAUUUUAAAGUGGCAUAACUUCCUCAAUUCAACUCCAAAUCGAUUGAUUCUCGCGGCUACAGAAAGAGGAAAACGAUACCUACUGAUUGAGAUCAUCAAAUCAAGACUUGGCGAGGCGUACCAAUGGAACCUGGAACUUAAAGAACGCGACAUCGCUUAGCUAUUAUCGAAGAUUAUGGAUAGCAAGCGUGUGUUUUUCAGGUACCUAGAUUCUAGACGUGGCUAGAAGUUCGUCUUUAACCGGAAGUUCCUUUGGCUAUGUACAGCCCCGACUUCCGUAGAUGCUGCAGUAGUAUGAUGUCUGACCAGUGUCGUGGCCUAUUACAGCAGUGAAAUUUUAUAUUGUUUAUCGUUAAUGUCUGUUGUAUAUAUGAGGUCUGGCUACAAUAGUUAUCACGGAGGUAAAUUCCCGUGAUGUAAUUUUGACAUAGUGGUUUAUGCCGGGCUAAUUCGUUCAUGAUACGGAAACGAUAAGUCCGAGCACGUUGUAUGGUUUUACCACUAUAUAUAAAUGUAUCUUUGUUUAAAUGUUGUGUUUGUAAA